GACGAACGCUGGCGGCGUGCUUAACACAUGCAAGUCGAACGAAGGGCGAUGGAACCUUGCUUCUAUCAGUCUUAGUGGCGAACGGGUGAGUAACGCGUAAUCAACCUGUCCUUCAGAGGGGGACAACAGUUGGAAACGACUUCUAAUACCGCAUUAGUUUCAAUCGCGGCAUCGGGACGGGAUGAAAGGUCUUCCCGAUUCAUAUGCUUGCACUGAAGCUGGGUAAGCCGGCUGAUUAGCUAGUUGGUGGGGUAAAGGCCCAACAAGGGGAGGAACGGUAGCCGGUCUGAGAGGAUGGACGGCCAACUUGGGAAUUGGACACCGCUCAGGAUCCUAAGGGGGGCAGCAGUGAGGGAACUUCCGCCAUGGAGGGAAAUCCGGAGGGAGAAAGGCGCGUGGGUGGUGAAGGCUUUCGGGUUGGAAAGCUCUGUUUAUCGGGGAGGAUGGUUUUUGUGAGAAUAGGGCGAGGACUUGACGGUACCGGAACAGAAAGCCACGGCUAACUACGUG
rnacentral:rRNA from 1 species